GAACAGUUUGUCUUGAACGUGACCUCUCAUGGAGAGAACAGUGACGUGAUCCUCACCACACCUGAAGCUGUAAAACAAACACCAGGAGGGCCGGAGGAGGAAGAAGACACAUCAUAUGACUGGAAGAACGAUAAAACUACUCAAGAAGCUGUAGCUGGUGGACUUCUGUUAAUUGCUGCUGUAAUAGCUCUAGUCGCUGCAGCUGAAAGAUGUGUAGCUACACUCAUUCGUCGAGUUAAAAGAAAUCUCACAGGUCAAGACCAGGAUAGACGUUCCCUCGCUGAGCUUAUCAGAAAGAUCAAAACCAAGUUACAUCCACAACCACAACUGCUCCAGGUGUGAACGUAUCCAGACCACAAGUCAGUCUGGUCCAAACUGUCUGAAGGAAGCAACGUGAUGAAUAUAAAGUUCCUGUCAGUUCUUCUUCAUUUCUUCAUGGUAAAAGUUUCUGCAGGUUGAUUCUCACUGAAGCAUCUGUGUGCUCUACUUUUAGCCAAGUUACUAAUCACACAGACUUUUCUGCUGAUCAUUAUUCUCAGUUUACUGUAGUGGUGUGUAUUUGUAAAUAUUUUAUUGAGUCAUACAGUAACGGUCAUUUCUAUGUGAGUGUGUUGCCCCUCGAAACUUGAGUCAGACCGUCCAUCACAGUGAGCAUCAUGUCUGAAACGUUUCCACUGCAUCACGACUCAGCAAUAACUAAACUGAAACAUCAGUAAGAGACAUGAGAGGAGCUCCAGCUGAGGCUCUUUAGAAAUACAGACUUUGGAUCAGAUUAUAGCUGUGAAGACUUGUACUCUGGGUAGGAUGGCCUCCUCUGGCCACCCGUAGACUCUGUCACUGGUACACCUUCAUAAAUAAGGCAAUUCUUGGUCUGCUGCCAAGACACCUGUGUGUACUUAUAAUGCAGAAAAGUAACACGUGAAACUCUUUGGGUUCUCAGGACUUCUUUAUGCUCUUUGUGCCAAAUACCCGUACAGAAACAGGACAAAACGCCUGUCUUGGCCAGGUCACCGUUAUGAAAGAGGUUCUUAAUCUCAAUGGGACUCUCCUGGUUAAAUAAAUGAAGAGAGAUCUGAGUGGAGCAUUAAGCAUAAACUAUUUACCCAGCAUGCACCUUGAUCCAGGCCUGACCACAAGUCAGUCUGACAGAGACUGAAACCUGACUUCACCAACAAGGAGGUCUUCUGAGAACAGUUCAGGCUCUAAACUGCAUCCACAGCAGCGUUUACCAACAGGAACUAACGUGAACAAAGACUCACAGAGUGUGCAGCAUGUUUAAGUCUCUGCGUGUUGAUUUCACAGCAAACGGAAAUAAAAUGAAACCAGCAGCAGCCUGGAGGAGAAGACAAACAUCCAACAUGUGACGUUAGGCCUUUGAGUCAUGCUGUUUUAAUCUGACGUUUAUGUGCUGUCAGAAAAGAUGUUUUACAAUAAUUAAUAAUAGUUACAUUUCAGAUACAUUUUAAGCAUCAUUCAAGUAUUAAUUUGCUUUUUGUGUGUAUUUUUGUUAUUUCUGCUUUUAUACAAAAGUAUUUCAUCCUUCUGCAAAGCACUUUUGACUCUUUGAAGUGGCCCAACAAUAACUAAACUGAAACAUCAAUAAUAGACAUUAGAUGGAAACAAUGAAUCCAGCAUAAACACAUUAAACAUGCUUCUUUAGAAGCAGACAGAAAGUUUUAUUUUUCUGCAAAGCACUUUCUAAUCUAUGAAGCACUUUCUAACCUGUUUGUAAACAUAAAGUUUGACUACUGUUUUCCACUGUGUGAAAAUAUCCCUUGCUAUUUUUAUGUAAUUUGACUGUAAGAGCUUGGAGGGACUGUGUUUUACAGAUGUGUAACAGACUGUAUAAGCUUGAUAAGUGUUUUUCUGUAAACAGACGUUUUCAGGGACUUUUUCAAUGUAUUUUCAACAUGACAUCUGAAUGUUUUCAUUGACUUGGUGAAUUUGUCUAAACCUGUAGAAGCUCUGUAUUUUUUAUAAAGAUAUAAAUUUCUCAGUUGACUUGAUCUAAAAUAAAGUCCAGCAGGUAAUCAG